UGAGUGGCGGACGGGUGAGUAACGCGUGGGCAACCUGGCCUGUACAGGGGGAUAACACUUAGAAAUAGGUGCUAAUACCGCAUAACGGGGGAAGCCGCAUGGCUUUUCCCUGAAAACUCCGGUGGUACAGGAUGGGCCCGCGUCUGAUUAGCCAGUUGGCAGGGUAACGGCCUACCGAAGCGACGAUCAGUAGCCGGCCUGAGAGGGCGGACGGCCACACUGGGACUGAGACACGGCCCAGACUCCUACGGAAGGCAGCAG
rnacentral:rRNA from 1 species